GGGCCCGUAGCUCAGCUGGUUAGAGCGCUCGGCUCAUAACCGAUUGGUCCCCCGUUCAAGUCGGGGCGGGCCCA
rnacentral:tRNA from 1 species